UUUUGAUCUGACCCCCAUAUUUUUUUGUGGUCCUGUAAGAAAGUAAGAUGGCGGAUCAGUCAUGGAUAGACUUGCUGAAGCACUAUACUUCAUCGCUGGUUGAAUUUGCAGCUAAGAACCCGAAGGAAUUUUUAGCAACAUUUUUUAUCAUUCUGACACCCCUCAUGCUGAUAUGUGGAUAUUUAUCAUAUUUAAUGAUUAAACAGAUCGAAGAAAAAGAGAAAGCAAAAAAAAAGAAAGCCAUAAGGUCUAAUAAUGUUGCAAGAACGAGAAGAAAA